rnacentral:lncRNA from 1 species
UCUAUGUUCGUAUACAUAGGUCCAAAGCCCUUGGCUUGGAAUUGAAUGACAAGUACCUUUCUAGGUAGAAGCAUUUUGCCUGAUCUGAGCAAGGUCUAUAUACUCCGUAGUACUCUUUAGUAACUCUAGCAGGUAUUGAGUAGGGGAGGGAGGCUUCUCAUGGAAUGAGCGAUUACCUCUAUCCUACAAAGGGACUUCUGAAUAUUUAAGAGAUCUUAAAAGGAAAGUCAUUAAAACAAAAACUCUAGUUCCUUUAAAAGAAGAAAGUUGACAGAAUGUACCUUGUGAAGUGCCAAACUGGGGGUGCCUUUCCUAAGUGACUACUGGAGAGAAGCUAAGAAGCCAGGCUGGCUUUGCCUAGUCAUGUAAGGUAUUCAUUGACUUCUGGGGAACAAAGAAUACAAGAAAGUAGUAGGAAGGGCAGGGAUUGCUGUAGAACUGGCUGUUCUAGUUGCAAACAAAGAAGUCAUUGUAGCAAACUUUAUUGUUUGCAGAGAAAAGAUGGAGACAAUCUCUUAAUACAAGGCAUACGUCCUUAAAAGGUAUUCCUCUAUUGUCUUUUUGUACAUUUGGUUUGAAUUUGUGUAAUGAAUUUAAAACAUGUAGAUUAUAAUUUGCAAAAGAUAACCCUCUACACAUGACAUACUCUGGGAGAAAACUUCAUCUGGAUGGUUAACCCUGAAAACAACAAAGCAGCUCAACUCAUGAUAGAAGUCAGUUCCAGGAAUCCUGAGUUUAGUUUUAAAAGGUCACUAACAGGUAUGUUGGUGCUGAUCCUUAAUCCCAGCACAUAGGAACCAGAGGCAGGUGUAUAAUCUGGGAGUUCAAGGCCAGCUAGAUCUACAUAGCAAGCUCCAGACCAGCUAAAGCUACACAGUGAAAACCAGUCUCAAAAACAAAC